UACGUAGGGAGCAAGCGUUGUCCGGAAUCAUUGGGCGUAAAGCGCGCGUAGGCGGCCUCAUAAGUCCGCUGUGAAAGUCCAAGGCUCAACCUUGGAAAGCCGGUGGAUACUGUGAGGCUAGAGUACGGAAGAGGCGAGUGGAAUUCCUGGUGUAGCGGUGGAAUGCGCAGAUAUCAGGAGGAACACCAAUAGCGAAGGCAGCUCGCUGGGACGUUACUGACACUGAGGCGCGAAAGCGUGGGGAGCGAACAGG
rnacentral:rRNA from 1 species